rnacentral:lncRNA from 1 species
CCAGCCUGGCCUCUUGUCCCCCAGCUCCCCUGUUACCACGUCGGGGGGGUGUCCCCUGGGGGAGGGCCAACCCCAGUGUGUCCACUCCUCCCCGGCCAAACUGGUCACCUCUGUCACCUCUGCUGCACCCGGCCCCUUCGUUGUCAGCGAGCUCCAUUCAGGGCUGAGCAAGAAUGGCCUCCAGGAUCCCACAAGGAAAGGCGGGGCUGCGGUUUGAACCCAGAUCUCUCCAGACUGUUCCACUACAACCCAUGGCUGCCCAUGAGAACCACCUGGAAAGCUUUGGACAACACCGAAACCCAGUUCCCAACCCCAGACCGCAAGUAGAGUCCCUGGUCAGGGGCCCCACCCAGCCCUGUGAUCCCAGCUCCACCAGCAGAGGCAGCAGAUCGGGGGUCCAGGGCCUCAGUGCACUCCCAUCCCCGUCGGGGUGCUCCGGCCCUGCUCCUCCACCCCUCAGCCCUGGCUCCCAGCACUCCAGACUCACACUUGGUUUUGGAGUCUUUGCCCAGGAGUAACCCCCAAACGUGUCCUGGUCCUUCCUACGGUGGCAGGCACUGGGGAACCCUCAGCUCUGAGUGUGGGAACACGUGCUGGGACUUAUCGGCGUGGUAGGUCCAGCCAGGUUUGAAGUUGGACAGGCCCACUCCCUGGAGAGACACCUGGUCCCAUGCACACACAAAGGCCACGGAGCCUGUUAGGUGGAGGCUCCUGGGGCCUCAGCUGCUCCGACCUCACCUCAGGAGGCUCAGCCGCUCUGACCCCACCCCCGCCACUUCCUGGCAGGAUGACCUUGGGAAGGCUGUUUUGCCUCAGUUUCCUCAUCUGUAAAAUGCCUAGAACGGCAGCUCCCUCAUGAGGAGGCUGAGACACCCCACGGUGUAACACAGGAAAGAUGCUGAGCUCUGCCGGUGUGGUGGGGAGCGAUGAGUGCUCCAGAAACGGUCCCCACGCUCCACUGUGUGCCGGAGCCUCUGCACUUGGGCCACCGUUUCCUGCGCCUUCUGUAGGAGCAGCAUGGCCUUGGCGCACGCUCGCCCUGCGUGAGCAUGGUGUCACUCUCCUCCCGUGCCGUCUCUUUCCCAUUUUAAACAUCUCCAAGGUUGACAGCAAAGGCUUCUGGGGCUCCAGGGUCACAGCCAAGGGCAGAUGAGAUCAAGUACAGCCACACUGCCACCCUUGUUCCCUUCAUUUUGUGAGACUUCGCCUCCGGCAAACACGAGGCCCAGAAUGUUCCACCAGGGUAGCAGCAGGUGCCCAGCUUGGGGAGGGAAGAGGCGCCGAGCGACCCCCCCAGCCCCUGCCCUGCGCAUGCCCCUUGUCUCCUCGAUGCGCCUCCCCCACCUCUACAGGGCCGGCAGCUGUGCUGGAGCCCAGACCUGAAACUGGAAGGAAAGAUGAUCCUCCACAGACUUCUCAUCAAUCCUUUUGCCGGGGUUUAAUCCCCCUGCAAUUCCUCCUGAAUGAGUUUCCUGUACCUGACAUCACCAGUGACCACAAACUAAGUGGCUUAAAGCAACAGAAAUGUACCCUCUCAUCAUCUGGAGCAGAAGUCAAAAUUCAAGGCAUCAGCAGGACCCCCGCCCUCUGGAGCUUCCAGGGAAGGAUCUUCGUUGACUCCUCCGGCUUCAGGGGGCUCCAGGCGUCCCUUGGUUCUAACCGCUGCCUCUGUGGUCUUGUGGCCGCCUUCCCUGGGUCCUCAGAUCCCCCCCUUGCAUAUAAGGACACUUGUCGUGGGAUAUGGGGCCCACCCUAAAUCCAGGAUGGUCUCAUUCGAAGAUCCCUAACUGAAUGAAUUCUGUAAAGACCCCUUUUCCAAUCAAGGCCGCAUUUACAGAUUCCCGACACGUCACUGGGAAGCCACCAUUUGGUCCUCAACAUCCCGUCUCCUCCGCCCCCAGAUGCGACGGCGUCUCAGCAGCGACUUGGAGCCAUGCAGGGUUUCUGUUGUGGUUGUUCACUUGGGUAAGCUUCCUGCUCUUACCGACAGUGGAUGACACACUCCCCACUCCCACGCCACUUCAUGUUCCUUCGGGAGCGGAGGGGGUUGGAAGAAUAAACACCCAGAUCUUCAAGACGUAAAGUCCCUUGCAGAGAACCCAGACCGGCCCCCUUAUUUAUGGAUGAGAAUCCUGAAGCCCAGAUUGUGGCUUUUGAACUAAGCUCACAAAUCCAUCUGAUUGUCUGCACCCUCGCCACCACCCUAGCCUCUGGCCCAACCUUUGCAGCAACAGGCCCUUCUCCCAGCAGCCGAUGGUGGCCUUUCUGCAAACCCCACG